CAAAGAACUUCCUCUCCCUCCUAUAAAUUGGAGCGAGACAUCCUGUAGAGGAUGGGUAAUGAGUGAGUGGCUGGGUAGGCAUCUGCCAGCUGGCAGAGGUCAAUUCACCACAGAAAGUAAAUUAAAAGAAAAUGUAGAUUAUUUAUCAAUGAGUGCUUUAUUUAGCCAUGGAUAACCUGAAAGGGCAAUUGUGAUAGUCCUUUUGUUUGAGACAUUAAAGUGUUUGACAGGGUUCUAGAAAAUGUAUUCAAUGGAAUAAGACUUGCAUCAGCUGAUAACAGGAUUGGUUUCAGAAUUAAUUGAUAUUUUUUGCAUCUAACCUCAGUGAUUCAUAGGGAUGCUUCUGCCAUGUUGGAUAUCUUUUGCUUUGUCAUUCACACAGAAGGCUGGGAAUGCAAUCAUGACAAAAUAUUUGUUGAAGUAGAAAUUAAUUUCUAACAAGAUGAUUUCUUCAUGAAGGUUGCUAAGUUGAAGUUGCUACUGCUGCAGUGCUGUCAGUGCUCAUUAAGGAUCUCAGUCUCAUGUAAAGAAGGAACCAAAGAGAAGCAGAAAAAUUCUAAAACUGGGUCUUCUGGAAAUAUGCAGUCUCCUAUCAAAGUGGUCCUAUGGAUCAAGAAUGUAGAAAUCAAGAAUAGGUAAACUUCAUCAGCUGCUUAGUCUAUUAUUCUUCAAGAAGAAGAAAUAUGAGUGUUAAGCAGAGAAAUUAAGUAGUUGCACAAAUUAUUGAAGCUUAUGUAAAAUUUUGUGUAUGCAAAAUCCUUGAAAUGUUGCUAGAACAUUGCUUCAUGGGAUGGAAAAGAAUGUUGUAUCUCACAGAAAGCAGUAAUGUCAUCUAGUCUUGGCUGAACUUGGACAGCUGAAAUCAUCUCCACAAAGAGAGAGAUACUACACUUCACUGAAGCACACAUUUGUGUGUAUGAAGCAAUAGGUGGAUGUGCUAAUAACUCGAUUUCAGUAUUGAUGGAAGGAAUAGGAGAAUGGCAGUAAGGAGUGGAGAUUUGCUUCUGAAAGGAAUACUAGAAGGUUGCCAAGGAGUAGAUAGCAUAAAAAUACAUAUCUUUUCCCAGUCUUGGGAUUUCUCUCAUGAAUGCAAUCUCUGGAUAUAAUACUUGCAAAAACUUUUACACAAAUUUACACAGCUGCAUAUCAAUGUUUUUCAAUAUCAAUAUCAACGAUGGGUUUGAUGAAAAACAAACUAGGCUGUAUAGAUUGAAACUUCUGAGUUCAUUCUGCUGUGGUCUGCUGAGAAGAGUGGGCUGCAAUCUUCUGGUGAGCACAAAUAGCUUGAAAAUCAUGACAUUUAGUAAAAUAUUGGGAAGAGCAAUUGAAUACAAAUCAGUUUAUAGAACAUAUUUAAGCAUUAUUUUUGAUAUUUGAGAAUGGAAAUUGCUUUUAAAAAAUGGGUAAAACUUUAUAAGAACAUUGCUUAUAAAAGAUCUACUAAUUUUACUUAAAUGUUAUCAGUAAGAUAUCCAUAAUGUGAAUUUGAGGAAGCAUUUUCAGUUACUUUAGUUACUUACAUUUUCCUUAGAUAACAUGCUAUUGGGAACCUGCAUGGGUACCUUUUUGCAUAAUGGCAUGCUCUGAGAUUAUUGGCUAUGCUUUUUCUCUAGUGCUGAAGUUAAUUUCAUAAAUUUGAACUAAGUACAUUUUGUAUUAGGAAUUAGGAGAAAAGAGUUAAUUACAGAUUAGUUGCAUCUACUGUCUCCUUCUGAAAAUCUAAUUCUGAAAAACCCUUUCAACACAAAAAAAAAAAAAAAAGAAAAAAUAAAAAAGAAAAAGCCUGAAUUAGUCUUUAGAAAGCACAGCAAAAGAAAAAAAUAUAUAUACAUCUUUGAGGCAAAAGAAAUCUUUUUCUUUACUGAAGUCAAAUAAUACUAGCUUGUGAAUAACUAUUAUUUCAUACAAUUUUUUGUCAGGAUUUAAAAAAGGAAAGUGGUGUCAUUAUAAGCAAAACCUGUGAUAAAUAAUUGAAUCUCGCUGAGAUAUUCAUUUUAAUAACAUUUGUUCUGAAUGCCCAUGAAAAGCAUAAUGACUUCCAAUGAGCUAAGUCCUUUAAAACUUUCUUCAGAUCUGUUCUGUAAUUCAAAGAGAAUAAAUCUAGAAUAUUCUGUGAUAUUCAAACCUUGUAUAGUUAACUGUAUUAGAAGUCUGCUUCAAAUCAAAAUUAGUUCGAAGAUGGUUUAUAGAAUGAAAAUGAAUAAUGCUUGUGCUUCUUCAAAUUUGCUUAUAAAACCAAAUAUUCUUUUCAUGUUUUCAAAAUAAUAUUGGUUUAGAAGCAAAUAAUAUACACAUAAUCAUAUUAGGCAAUAUUAUCCUUUCUUUAAAAAAAUAAAAAAGUUCUGCAAUCUCUACUCAAAUAUCACAUAAAAUUACUUAAAAAAAUACUGUUUUUUUUCUAAGAAAAAAUAUUUUUUCAUCUUAUUUGAAAGUAAACAAGGCAUUCAUUUAAUUAGUGCAAUACAAAUAGAAAACCAUUCAUUCCACUUCUCCAAACAAUUUUUACACAUUAUAAACAAAUCAAAUAAUAUAAAUUUGUUUUAAAAACAUAACAAAUACUAUUGUGGUAUCACCAGUCAUUAUCAGUUAUUACAUUCAUUUUAUUAAGACAUGCUUAGAAAGAGUAAUAAAUUGGAAACAGGUUUUUAACCUUGCCAGAAAGCCUGAAGAAGCAACAUUAGUAUCCAAAUUUACAGAAAUCUGCAAGCAUAAAGUGUUUCAUUUAUCAUUGCUACUAAGAAAAAUAACGUCAGAUCAUUUACCAAGCAAUGUCUAAUUAAUUCAUUAACUAGUAUGAUUAUUUAUCACUGAAAGAAAUGUAUUAGAGGGAAGUAAUUCUUUAGUGUUUCAUUGGUUUAUAUACACGUGUUCAUAGAUAGAUCAAACUGAAAAGUCAUGAAGAUGUUUAAAAAAGUAAUUUUUAAACUGUUGAUAAACUGAUGAAACAAUAUUAGUAAGACAAGUUUGGUGUUUCUUUAUGUACUUGCUGAAUGUGUGUCUAUCCUGGUAAACGAGGAGCAUGUCAGCCAUAUUUUCUCUGCUGUAGCAUCCUGGUUUAAUUGAUUUUUUUCUGUUGGCUCUCUUCAAGAAGAUAAUUAAAUUUAUCUGUCAGUUCUUAUUUUUUGAAAGUACAAUUAGACCUAAACCUUUCUGAGAGUAUUUUAUCAAAUAUGAUAGCUUAAAUGAAAGACAUUGUCCUUUGCAAAUUCAUAUGUUUUCAUUAGAGUAAAAGGCCUCCCAUCAGAACUUUUCAUUUAAAUUUAUAUGAGAUUUCUGGUGUGUAAUUCCAUGCUUAGCAAUAUUUGAUUUCUUCUGCAAUAUUAUCCAAACACUUUUGUUGUGUUUUUAUUACAUUUGGUGUUACAUUUCCAUCCUUUGGUGCCUUUAUGCUGAAGGAGAUGACAAUUAAAAUUCUAUAACUUUAGCUGAUUUUUUUUUUUUAAUGGAAAAAAUAUUUUUUAGGGGUUUCAGAAAAAUAAUUACUGACAGCUUAACUAAAUCUUUAAAUGCAAUUCUAAUGAGAUAUUUUUCCUUACUGAAUUAGAUGCUUGUUAGCAUGAUGUUUUUUUUAACCUUUUCAAAUUAUUAUAUUUAUGUACAGAAUAAUACUGUUAACCCUAAAAGAAAUAACAUUGCCAGUUGUAAUUCUUUUUGUUGGCAUUUUGUUCAAAGAUAAAAGAUUCAGAUUUGAAUCUGUGUAUUACAAAAGAAGCGCUGCCUGGUGAUUGUAAUGUCAUUUUCUUUUGAGGCAGUUAAGGUAAGGGUUUGCUACCUCUAGAAAUCCAGCUUUCAGCUAUGUAAUGCCAGUCUUGAAAGCCUGUCUCUGUUUCUGUAACGUCCAGAUUAAAUGCCUGUUGUUGUACAUAUAA